UCCCUGGUUGUCUAGUGGUAAGCAUUCGGUGCGCUCACCGCCGUGGCCCAGGUUCGAUUCCCGGUCAGGGAA
rnacentral:tRNA from 1 species